rnacentral:lncRNA from 1 species
GGUUCUCUUAUGAUGUGUAGGAGUGUCAUUGUGAUCUGUUUUCAUGAAGAAGAAAAGUAAAUAAAUUUUUAUAUAUUAUUUUGAUCAUAAAUAUAUUUAGAUUAGAUCUAAAAUAAUUUAUGAUUUAUUACAAUAGGAUAAAAUUCAAAUAUAUAAUUAUUUUAGAUCUAAAUUGUAUGUUACAUAUGAUAUAAUCGGUAUUGAUCUAAAGGUUGUCAUUACACAUGAGAUGUAUGUAUGAAGUUAGAUUAUACCUA